rnacentral:rRNA from 1 species
AGGUGGCAAGCGUUGUCCGGAAUUACUGGGUGUAAAGGGAGCGUAGGCGGGGUAUCAAGUCAGAAGUGAAAAUUAUGGGCUCAACCUGUGGCCUGCAUUUGAAACUGUUUUUCUUGAGUACUGGAGAGGCAGACGGAAUUCCUAGUGUAGCGGUGAAAUGCGUAGAUAUUAGGAGGAACACCAGUGGCGAAGGCGGUCUGCUGGACAGCAACUGACGCUGAGGCGCGAAAGCGUGGGGAGCA